rnacentral:tRNA from 1 species
GCCGGAGUGGUGAAACUGGUAGACGCAGGGGACUCAAAAUCCCCCGCUCGCAAGGGCAUCUCGGUUCGAUUCCGAGCUCCGAGCUCCGGCACCA